rnacentral:tRNA from 1 species
GUAGGUAAUUUACAUUUAUUUGCAAAAAUAAAUAUGGUCUUUACUGUUUGACCUACCUACU